UGAAGACGACCGUCCGCUCCAUAAACCUAACCGCAAUCCGGAAUCUAUGAACCCUGCGCCACCGCCUUCCGAGACUAACGAGGAGUUGGAGAAGAAAUUUGUUGCUUAUGUAUGUACAGAACGAUGUGUAUGGAACAAUGGGUCUUGGCGAGUUGUCGCUGACGAAGAUACUCAUUGGCAUUGUGAUAGUCACACUCUUGAUGUUGAUUGUUUAUUACGUGAUUUGUCGGAUUUGCAUUAUGUUUUGUCUCCGAAUCAAGCAGAUGAACAGGAAGAUUAUGCGCAUAUGUGUGGAUGGAGGAGGGCUGUGAUUAUCAGGUCUGAAAAGUUCCUCUCUAGGGCUAUUCUUUUUGCUAUGGGAUUUUAUUUGAUCAAAGAAAUUCCUCUUCAUCAAGAGCAUGGAGAUUGUAAAAAUCAAGCUGAAGACAUUGAAAGACCUGAAGUUAUCAUAUCAAAUCAUGUACCAUAUGUCUUACUUCUUCCCAAGCUUUGUAGCUAAGAGAUAUGGAGGAGCAAGAGGCUCUCUCCUCUGUCUCUCUAAGUGGAGGCGCCCUCCUCUCUGCAUCUUACCAGACUCAGUCUCCCAGCAUCGUUUUCCAGUAGUUGGAGAUUAAUUACGUAAUUGGUGAAAGUCAUAAGGAACCGUAACCUCCUUCAUCUAGUCCAAAUGCUAUUAUUAGGAUCUUCGGUGUUACCCAAGAAGGGCACAAUGUUUGGUGCAAUAUUCAUGGAUUUGAGCCGUAUUUCUACAUCAGCUGCCCACCUGGUAUGGGUCCCGAUGACAUCUCACAAUUUCAUCAGAUCCUUGAGUGAAGUGUACAGAAAGGUAAGAGACAAAUACUUAGAUAGCGAUAACAUGGAGUUGGCAGCUUGGACAGCAAGCGAGAUGAUGAAGGAAAUAAACACAAUAGAGAUGAAAUUCGAGGAAUACACCGAGCAUUUACUGAACAGGAUAUCGACAAAGGAAUGUACGAGGAGGAAAAGGAAGGAAGCGAAAGAAGUGGAGGAAGAGAUAUUUUUGGA